rnacentral:rRNA from 1 species
UACGAAGGGUGCAAACGUUGCUCGGAAUUAUUGGGCGUAAAGCGCACGUAGGCGGCUUUGCAAGUCCCAUGUGAAAGCCCACGGCUUAACCGUGGAAGUGCAUGGGAAACUGCAGAGCUUGAGUACUUAAGAGGAUCGCGGAAUUCCCGGUGUAGAGGUGAAAUUCGUAGAUAUCGGGAGGAACACCAGUGGCGAAGGCGGCAUCCCGGACCGACAUUGACGCUGAGGAGCGAAAGCUAGGGGAGCAAACGGG